CCCUGUAUCGAAAGUGACUUUGGUGCGACUCAUCUCCAGGUCAUUGAUAGUACAGGAAGAGAAAACUGAAAGUCUUUCCCGUGUUUGCAGGAUUCUCUCUUCCUGACAAACCCUGAAUCUUUCACACA